ACUUCCUAACAAGGAAAAAGUGAUAACCAAAACAUAUUGAUUUUAUCAGUUUCUUCUCUUGCUAGAAUUCAGACUGCAGUGACACCCAAAGUAUGUUAGGUGAUUUCCAAAUGCAAAGGAAGACAGUCCCUGCCUCACAAAACAUACAGUCUGAAAAGACAUAUUGAUGAAGAGAGGAGGCAGGGGAAAGGAAUACAAAAUACAAGUUAAGUGAUCAAGGUGAUGGCAGGCAGAAGUCUCUUUACUUACAUGUUUGCUUUUCAACUCCACUCCCACCCAAUCUGCUGCCAGAAUUCAAACCUCUCUUCUUCCCCUUACCCUAACUCACAAAUUGUGUUCCAGUAUCCGUAUGCCCCUCCCUCCUAGUCUUCAAUAUCUUUCCGCCACAUAAAUGAGCAAUUUACUUAUAAAUAAAUGACAUGUAAACAGAUGGCUUGGUCAGCUAGCUUCUUGUGGGUGUUGAAGAAGUGGUCCUUCAGAAGGGAUUUAAAUGAGGACAGGGGAUUCCUCUGCAGACCUGUUCAAGGAAUGUAAUGAUACACAGUAGCAGGGGGAAAGUAUUGUUGUAAAAGAAGUGCACAAACAGGCCUUCACAGCUGGUGUUUCAAAUGGAGUGGAGGUGAAGUGAAGAAGGGGGGGAGUAGCAACAUUAAAAAAAAAAAAGAGGAUGGAUAAAUUGAAACUGACAAAGCUAGGCAGGAUAUUGAAGACGAUCACAAGAAGUCUGAACUUAAUAUGGUGAAGUCAGUGGACGGAUCAAAGAGGAAAGGAAAGGAGAGUGUUGAUCUGGUCAGAAUGGUGGGCAAAGUUUUAGCAGAUGUAUUUUGUAUGGACUCCAGGGGUGGAUGUGGUGAUGUGGGUCCUGGGAGCCUGAUGAAGAGUAGGUUACAGUAAUCAAAGUGGAGCUGUUCUAACUUAAGGCAUCCUUAUCCAGAUGCCUAUGGGCUUCUCUAGAGCCCAAAACUGUCAAAGCAUUCUAUUCUUCUACCAAUCCUUUCCACCUCCAGCAUGGCCCUAUUCCAAUAUAAAGUUCGCUCGUUACCUCUUUCAGUGCACAGGAUGGACUGUGAUUGAGGCAGAGGGUUCCAAGAAGAGAAAAGAUGUUCCCUUGCAUUUAAAACACUGGAAUGCAAGGCAAAAUAACGGGGUUCUACUGGUGGCUCUGCCACAGAAUUCCUAUGCAAUACUGAGCAAGCCUAUCAUAAUAGAUAUGCAUAAGGGUACCCAGUUCAGGUAAUCCAAGGAACCUUCAUACUGUCAUUGUCUAACUUUGAAGUGCUUGAUGUUUCAACCUUGUUAUUUUAAUGUAGUUUUUAUAUACAAUUAUAAUAUUAGUGACAAAAAUAUACAGCAAGCUGUAAUGGUUAAUUAAGGCAUUAAUAUAUCUGCCUAAAAUCCAAAUGCAGUUUCAAUUGGAUUUGGUAAUUUGUUUCCCCCACCUUAACUAUAGUGUAAUAUUGCCACCUGCAGUUAUAUUGCUAGACAGCACCACUUGGGUGCAACAUGGGCAUUGGUAGGUGAAGGGAUUCCUAUAAAAGUACUGUUUGUGAAAGCAGGUUUUGGGAUUCUUUGGGAUGAAAGGUGCUAUACAUAAAAGACAUUAUUACCACUGGCUGAUGUCAGUGUAACGUGUGGUGACAAAUGACUUUCUAAAAUAGAAUAGAAAACUUACACCAUGCAAGUAACUCCCAUGAUUAAUUAAAACAGAUUUAUUUUUAACUUAUUGACUAUUCCUAGUGAUUCCUGAUCAAAGAUUCAGACAGCAUUUCUAGUACAGCACUCAGUAAACUAAACAGUUCUUUCAACAUUGUGUUCUCAGAUCAUUCAGCUCUCCUGUCUAGUCAGUGUACUAAAGGUAACUUUAAAGGAAAUGUAUUCAACAAUCUCUUUAAAGUGGCAACAUACAAACACAGCCAGACUCAUUAUAUAUAUAUAUAGUGAAUAAAAAGUUACAACAUAUUUGGCCUUUGUGCUGAUUUUAUCAGAUUUCAGUCCAGGGAAUGCUCUUAAAGCGGAGUUAUAAAUCCCCUGAACAAUGUGGUGUGUAAUGGAAGUGUACAUAAGCCUUUAGAUAUAGGGUGCAAACAAGACCACUGUAUUCAUUAUUAUUUUCUAUUUCUCAUCCACUGAUUGCUCCAGUAAUGCUUGUUCUCUCUCAUUAAAUGGCUUUAUUCACUAAUUCAAAGCUGUAAUGCUUGUGUCCAUUCUUAUUCAGCUGCUUUACACACACACACACACACUUAUACUUGAUUUGUUCUUUAUAAGCUAGAGGGAAUCUCCCUACUUUGAACAAACAGUUCACUCGGAAAUGGAAUUUGAGAGCACAACCAUUCCAUUUCGCCUGGGGGAAAACCCCCUCAGAAGGCAGGUGCUCAGUCAGCCCUAACUUGCCCAAUAGCUCGUAAGACGCACGGAACAGCCACAGGAGAUACAGUGAAAGUAUGUAGAUCCGCAGCAAAUGUAGUGUGGCUCUGGAGUCCUUAAAGGUAUGAAGUGAUGCAUCGAUAUUGUCUGCAAACAGUUUGGAGCCCUCGAAAGGGAGGUCCUCGACCGUCAUCUGUACCUCCUUUGGCAGUCCUGAGAGGUGUAACCACGAUGCCCAACGCACCGCUACUGCCAUCGAUACCGAAUCAGCCGCUGUAUCCGUGGUAUCUAGUGCUGUCUGGAGAGCUGUUUUCACUACUAACUGUUCCUCAUGUAUGAUAAUCUGAAACUGUUCCCAUUGUGUUUCUGGCAGGUGGUCAAUAAAUGCAUUAAAUUUGGUGUAGUUCAUGUGGUCAUACUUUGCCAUUAAGGCCUGGUAAUUCGCAAUUCUGAUUUGCAAAGUCGCUGAGGUUUUUGUCUUUCUACCAAAUAAAUCAAGUCUUUUCCAGUCUAUCAUAAGGGGUGGCCUUAGAAUGAUAUUGUUGGCCGCAGGAAUUCACAGCAUCCACCACAAUGGAAUUAGGUGGGAGGUGUGAAAAGAGGAACUCUGCAUUCUUGGGGAGCACAUAGUACUUUUUAUCGGCCUUUUUGCAUGUUGGUGUGAUAGAGGCUGUAAUUUGCCAAAUGACCUUACCAGGAUCCAGAAGCGCCUCAUUAACCGGGAGGGCGAUUCUUGAGGAGGAGAAUGUGUGCAAUAUAUCCAGCAACUUGUGGUGGGUAUCUUUCACCUCCUCCAGGGGAAUUUGUAGUUUGUCUGCCGCCAUUUUUGUGAGUACCUGAAACAACUUAAAAUCGUCUACUGUGGACGAUGGAGGAAGCCUCACGGCCUUGUCCGGAGAAGAGGAGGAGAUAUUGGUUAGUGGUGUAACCUCCUCUUCUAAUCUGGCCUCUUGCACCUCAAAAUUUUCCUUUCAAGGUUCUGGGGCUCUGGACAUAGAGGCUGCAGGCGAUUGUCUUAUUGGCUCAGAAUAAGAGACACCAGAUGCCUGUGAAGCAUGGUGCCUGUAGGCUGCCCAUGGAUCCCAGUAUGGCCACUGGGGUGGGGGUACCCAUGGCUGGUCAUAUCAAGAGGGCUGAGACUUAGACUGAUGGUGUGACUGAGAAGGCCCUGGUUGGUGUUGAGAUGGGCCAUGAUGUGUGGGUAGUGAGAGGACAUCAUCCUGGUCACUAAUUGAAUCCUUGCUGGAAAGUGGUGGAACUGAUAAGGAGGCUGGAAGCAAACACCCCGUUGCUUGUGGUGAUUCUGGGAAUCGAGAAGUGCUCAGUACCGUGACCUUCAUACCGAGUAGCAGGGACUCUGGAGUCUCAGCCACCAUGAGAUCUCUGGAAAAAAAGAAGUCCUGCGGUACCGCAGUGGUCAGUACCAUCAGGGCUUGUUGGUGCUGACUCGCUGGUACUGAGGAAAUCGGGACAGAUCUUGCCCAAGAUGGUCGUCCGAUAAGGGUUGUUUGGAAACGGUCAGUAGCAAUGGUUCACAUGCCAGUACCUCCUUUGCAGAGAUGGUACAGACUGUGCUCUUGCCUUUGUCAGGCGAUGCUGCUGCUUCAGAGCCUGCACCCUUAGAGUCCUUAGGGCUUAUAGGCGGUGUCUGCACCAUAUGAGCCACGUGUCCUAUGGAUACCGUGCUUUGGAGUCAUCGGUGCUGCUGGUGCCGAGGUGACUGAUCGCACCAGGGAUCUCCUCUGGCUGGUCUGGGGCUGAGUUUGAGGACUUGCAAUGGGAGUCCGAAGAUUUCCUCCAUGGCUCACUGUCCUUAGAAGUAGAAGGCUCCGGGGAUGGUCUGUGUCGUGGAAUGGAUUCUGGACCAGGGUCAGAUGCUGGUUUAAGAGCAUCCUCCAUAAGGAUGAGUUUCAGCUUUAACUCCUAUUUUUUGGGGGAUCUAGCCUACAAUUGUUGGCAGAAGGUGCACUUCUGCAGAAUGUGAGCCUCUCCAAGGCAUUGGAUACAGCGGGAGUGUCAGAGGCACCUUUUAAACCCAGGGAGCUGGGCAUGCCCGUUAUUGGGGGUGAUCCCCAGAGGAGAGAAAAAGAAAGCGGGGAAGAAAAAGUUAUGUUUUGUUUUGUUUUUUAACUGGGAAAAAAACUAACAGAAACCCUAUAAGACUAAGAAAAAUCUAAUAGAAAUAAUAACUAAAACAAAACCUAACUCUAAGGUAAGGGAAAGGGGAUUGCUAUUUGCUCUGUCUCAGGCCGGGGGCAGUUAAGAAGGAACUAAGGGUGGUUCGCCCACGCAGCGCUAAUUAGCCUUGAGGCAGAACACAAGGGAGGGAGAGCGCAUGUGUUGUCCGAACAGAUACUGCUACCAAAGAUCUCCGAUGAGAGAUGCAGGGAUGCAGACACACCUACAGUGUAGCACCUAUAGGAUGAAGAAGAACUUACGAUUGUUUGCACUAUAAAUAUAUCUCAGUGUUGUUGUGUUAUAUGGGAGCUGAUCCUCAGUUUAAUCAAACAGGCUGGUGUGUACAUUGUUUCCUUUGGGGGAAAGCAAACCAGCAAUUUCUGUGAGUAGCCAGAGGCUGGAUAUCGCAGAGGAACGCUUCAAAGGGGCUCAGGACUGGAGUGCACGUAUAGUUAAUCUGCAAGGCAAAGUAAGGGUUGGCAUAGCCCUGAGGAGAUUGUUUGGGUGGCUAACAGAUUGUAGGUGUCAAGAACCUAACACCCAGCUAAGUAUCAGCAAGUCUCUCUCUUGCUGGAGCCAGAAGGGGUAACUGGACACUAUGAGAACCAUCAAAAUUGCAUAGAAUAAAAAACAUCUCCUAAAUAAAGGAUAGAAACCCUCUUGUGUCAGGGCAUAACUUAAUCAUUAA